AACUUGUAUCACUGCCCGGAAACGACCACUGUGAGGCGAACAGAAGUACCCGAAGGAAGACGGGGGCACUAAAAAUUGACACGGGGCGGAAAAUAUUUGGCCGACCAUAAUCCGCAUAAAAAUUAAGCGGAAAACGGCCUGGAAGGGGAGUUUCGGUCGAAUAUUUUAGGGUGAGAACGCCAUCGCGCGAGGUUGAGCGUUAGCGAGCGCCAGCGGAAAUUGGGGUUUGUUUUACGGAUCGAAAACGAUGGAGAGGCCUGCGAGAGUGUUUUUCCACGGGAUGAGGAAAAAUGACCUGCUAACCUGAAAUCGGAAACCGCCUUUGUGCACAUCUACGCUUUCGGCGCCCUUUUUAGCAUUAUUAUUUUCACGCAUUGCUCUUCAAGAGGACUUUCUCCGUUCACGAGCAGAGGGAUGUGAUUGAAAAAGAGAAUUCGGCUCUUCCCCUCUCCCUGAUCCCCCUCCACACUCCACACAACCAUCCCGAAAAACAGUCAGCGCUUUUCUUUCAACCUGCAAAGGAUUUGGACUGACAGGGCUCUGCCCACAGCAGAGAGAAGGAAGAACUACUUGGUCAUACCACUCUGCUGUGUUUGUGGUCUUCCAGCUGAGGUGCUAUAGACAGAGGUUGGAUACAUCCUGUGGACUAUCUGACCUUUCUCCUUUUCACUCCAACUUGGAACAAUUGAAAAAAAGUUGCUCAACAGAAUUUUCUCUUUAAAUGAAGACAUUACUGAGGAAAUCAAAAAGUGGGACCAUUUCAUUCAGAAGUUGUCAAAGGAAUAUACCAAUAUCAAGAAAGAAAGACAUUCCCUCGUUGCUUCAGUUUUAAAUGGCUUUCAACACUAAAUGAUUUGCUUUGUAUAGAUAAACACAUUUUGUGAAGCAAAUUUUCAUAUGGUAUAAGUACGUGUAUUAGUAGAUUAAUACAUGGUAUUAGUACAUUAGAACAUGUUUUUACCAUUUUAACUGUAGAUAUAGUAAUAUUGAAAGACUAAUGCAGACCUGUGUUUAUUGCAUGAUAUUGUAAACCACCUUUCACCCUUUUUUAUAUUUAUAGAUUUUUUAAUCCAAGACUUCCAG